UGACAGCCCAUUACCCAAGUGGAGGCAGAAGAGAAGUUGCUACCAGAGAGGGGGCCCUCAGAGAGUGGAAGGGCGGAUCCAGCCGCCCAUCAAAGGGAACAGUGUGUGGGCAGAAGGUUGCCUGGCCACGGCCAGGCCCAGCCCCCACAGAGGGAUCAGAGCACCCAAGGCCUUGACCGCCUCUGAGUCAUUGACCUUCAUCUUCAAAGAUCCUUCCCUAGAGACUCCUGUGAUUCUUCCCUCCCCGAGUGACCUGGUGUCACUGUCAGAAAUGCCACUCGGCCCCUCGUAACUGCAAAGGGACUGAAAGGUGUGGUCUCCCAGAGGUCCAGGAAGGAAAGAAGCCCUGGGAAGUUUCCCACAAGGCCCAGCUUCUUCUCAAGGAGACUGUGGAUAAGGAAAGAAGGCAGGCAAGGCUGCUGUGCUGGAAAGAAGGUGGAGUUCCCCAGAAGCAGACUGCAGAGAACGGAGUGCAGGAAGAUUCCCAAGGAGAGCCUCGGGAUGAACGCCUACGGAGAAGGUGGCAGUGGGAUCAGGCAGAUGGAGAGGCUGGCUGCGAUGCAGUCACAACCAGGCCUCCACUGAGCCCACGGGGAACUCUGAAACUGGGAUGGCCCUUCAGAGUUAUCCCCAGCUGAAGCAUGGACCAGGCCUUUACAUCUUCCCCUUCGAUCAGACAGGAGGUCCCAUGUGGAUUCUGGAAUCAGAAAAGCCUGCUUCCUGAGUUUGAAUCCAGUCUUCAUCCUUCAACUGUGGGACCCUGGACAAGAACCAACAUCUUCCAGCAGAGACCACCAAGAACACAUUUGUGGUUGAAUAAGCUAGGUUUAUUAAUUACUGCAGUGAGAGAGAAUACACACCAGGGUGUCUUAGUAAGAGGGAGUUAGACAAAACCUAUGAUAGAAUUGGGGUUGGUUUGAGUGAUUUAGGAGGAGGGUAAGUGUAUUAGUCCAUUUUCACGCUGCUGAUAAAGACAUACCUGAGACUGGGAAGAAAAAGAGGUUCAAUUGGACUUGCAGUUCCACAUGGCUGGGGAGGCCUCAGAAUCAUGGUGGGAGGUGAAAGGCACUUCUUACAUGGUGGCGGCAAGAGAAAAUGAGCAAGAAGCAAAAAUGGAAACCCCUGAUAAAACCAUCAGAUUUUAUGAGACUUAUUCACUACCACAAGAAUAGCACAGGAAAGAUCAGCCCCCCAUAAUUCAAUUACCUCCCCCUGGGUCCCUCCCACAACCCAUGGGAAUUCUGGGAGGUACAAUUCAAGUUGAGAUUUGAGUGGGGACACGGCCAAACCAUAUCAGUAAGGAAGUGGCAGUUUACUUUCAAUUGGCAGCUGUAAGAAACUGGGGGCAAUUGUGACGCAGUGUCUCAAUAAAUCACAUCUAUAAGGAAGGGAGAUGGCAACAAGGAUACAGCUGUAGCAGGAAAAGAAGUAACAGUCACUCGUUUUGGCCAAGAGUGGGUGUUUGGUAUUUCACUGUGGUACACUGACAUUGUUUUUGUCGGUGCUUAGAAAAAAUUAAGACACGGUCUUGCUUUGUCUCAUUUUGUCAUAGUCUCAGCGUAGCCUUGUCUGAGGUCAGCACCCUGUGAGGGUGUUUAUGUCCUGGAGGACAAGAACACAGGCUAGCCGUGAAUGGAAGGCCAGCUUCCAAAUCUCAGGGGCUUUUUUCCUUCCUCACAGGUUACUAAAUCCCUCCAUGUAUAAAUCUCUCCACCAUAAAAUGGGGGUAAGAAGGCCGGGCGCGGUGGCUCAUGCCUGUAAUCCCAGCACUUUGGAAGGCCGAGGCGGGUGGAUCACCUGAGGUGAGGAGUUUGAGACCAGCCUGACUAACAUGGUGAAACCCUGUCUCUACUAAAUACAAAAAAUUAGCCAGGCAUGGUGGCGGGUGCCUGUAAUCCCAGCUACUUGGGAGGCUGAGGCAGGAGAAUUGCUUGAACCCAGGAGGUGGAGGUUACAGUGAGCUGAGGUUGCGCCAUUGUACUCCAGCCUGGGCAACAGGAGCAAAACUCCAUCUCAUAAAUAAAUAAAUAAAUAAAUAAAAUGGGGGUAAGAGCUCUACCUUGUGGGGCAGUUUUGAAGAAUGCACAAGACGAUGUGACACAGAGGGCAACAGCUCAUUUCAUGUUAUUCUCCCCCCCACGAACCCCAUGAGAACACCACGCAGCAGCUGCUCGAACACCAAUUUUAUAGGUUGGGAAACUAGAUGGAAAAGGUCAGUGCAUUUUGAUGGAAAUCAGAAGUGAAAUAGUCAUCCAUACUAAGACUGCAACUAAGCUUCCCAUUUUGAGGGCCAGCAGCAAAUAACCACCAGCAAUUGACACGGGGUGGCCAGCUCGGCACAGGGUCACAGUGGGGUUGGAGCACCGUCCAGGACCUGGUUUUGGGGAAACCGGGGGCACCAUCGGGACCUGGGGGGUGGGGAGUGGUCAUCACUGGAACCGUGAUGCCUGUGUUUCACUUGGCAGCUUUCGCACUGAGCUCACAGAGAGCUGGCCUUAGGCGCAGAAUCCAGAGAGCACCCCUGGUAAUAGAGUGCACCCUGACUCUGGGUCAGGGACUGAGCAGGGACCAGAACCAACUUUUUUUCUUUCCCACACAUCAUCUUGUCUGCUAAUAAUAGAGUUCAUCACCAGUGAGAUUUCCAGAAUAAAGCCCACCCAGCUUUUUCCCCUAAUUAUACCCUCUCCCUGGUAAUUGCAGAGUUGUUCAGGGCCUGCAUCUGGCUUGUAAGAGCAUUUCCAGGAAAACCAGAUUGAGUACCACCUCUCACUUGAUAGAACAAAAGGAAAGCGGCACACUUUGAAGGCUCAGCUUCUCCAGUAGAAAGUAACCUGUGGGGCUAUAGAAAGGCACCAGGUAUGGAAUCCCAAGUCAGUUCCUUCUCAGCUAUAUGGAUUUAGGAAUACAUUCAGCCUCAACAUGCUCAGCUGUAAAAUGGGAAUAAAAAAACUGCACUACCCUUCAUAUUCCCGAAGACUGUUGCAAAAAUGAUCUUUAUGGAUUCACAUGUAAAAAGAACUGCACAAUAAUAAAAAAAGUAUUUCCUAUACAGUGAUUUUGUUUACCAGCAAAUAAAACAGAUUUGACACAAAAUGAAAAGGUCAUAUAUUAUAACUAAAGUCUCCUUGGUGAUAUAACUAAUGCUCUUCUUUAAUGUUACCUAAUGAUGGUUGAAUCUAGGAAUCUGCUCUUUUAGAAAUCACCAAAAAACCAUCUGGGAUGUCCGGGCUCUGCUUAGUAAGGCAGAGAAGUUGACUCUUACAUAUCAUUUGAUCCAUCCAUUGGCUAUAGUUUGUAUAUUGUUCCCCACCAAAUCUCAUGUUGAACUGUAGUCCCUAAUGCUGGAGGUGGGGCCUGGUGGAAAGUGUCUGGCUUAUGGGGGCAGACCUCUCAUGACUUUGUGCUGUCUUCAGAUGGUUAGUUCUUAUGAGAUCUGGUCAUUUAAAAGUGUGUGGCGCCUUCUCCCCGACCUUGCUCCCAUUCUCACCAUGCGAUGUGCCUGCUUGGCCUUCGCCUUCCGCCAUGAUUGGAAGCUUCCUGAGGCCUCCCCAGAAGCAGAUGCCACUAUGCUUCCUGUACAGCCUGCAGAAACAUAAGCCAAUUAAACCUCUUUUCUUUA